rnacentral:rRNA from 1 species
CACGCCGUAAACUAUGCGCGUUAGGUGUAUCGGUGACCACGAGUUACCGAGGUGCCGAAGGGAAACCGUGAAACGUGCCGCCUGGGAAGUACGGUCGCAAGGCUGAAACUUAAAGGAAUUGGCGGGGGGAGGCACCACAACAGGUGGAGCCUGCGGUUUAAUUGGACUCAACGCCGGGAAGCUCACCGGAUAGGACAGCGGAAUGAUUGCCGGGCUGAAGACUCUGCAUGACUAGCUGAGAGGAGGUGCAUGGCGUAGA